UCUAGCAUUACCAGUAUUAGAGGCACCGCUGCCCAGUGACACAUGUUCAACGGCCGCGGUACCCUAACCGUGCAAAGGUAGCAUAAUCACUUGUUCCUUAAAUGGGGACUUGUAUGAAUGGCUCCACGAGGGUUCAGCUGUCUCUUACUUUUAACCAGUGAAAUUGACCUGUCCGUGAAGAGGCGGACAUAACCUAACAAGACGAGAAGACCCUAUGGAGCUUUAGUCUAUCAAUGCAAACAACAUUCAAUAAACCAACAGGUCAUAAAUUACCAAACCUGCAUCGAAGACUUGGUUGGGGCGACCUCGGAGCAUAGACUAACCUCCGAGCAGUAUAUGCUAAGACCACACCAGUCAAACGAACUCCAUGUGCAAUUGACCCAAUAACUUGAUCAACGGAACAAGUUACCCUAGGGAUAACAGCGCAAUCCUAUUCUAGAGUCCAUAUCAACAAUAGGGUUUACGACCUCGAUGUUGGAUCAGGACAUCCCGAUGGUGCAGCCGCUAUCAAAGGUUCGUUUGUUC
rnacentral:rRNA from 1 species